rnacentral:rRNA from 1 species
GUCAGGCUGCAACUCGCCUGCAUGAAGUUGGAAUUGCUAGUAAUCGCGAAUCAGAAUGUCGCGGUGAAUACGUUCCCGGGCCUUGUACACACCGCCCGUCACACCAUGAGAGUCGAUAACACCCGAAGCCUGUGAGCUAACCUUUUAGGAGGCAGCAGUCGAAGGUGGGGUUGAUGAUUGGGGUGAAGUCGUAACAAGGUAUC